rnacentral:rRNA from 1 species
ACUGACAGCCAUGGUUACCGCGGCUGCUGGCACGGAGUUAGCCGGUGCUUCUUCUGCGAGUAACGUCACAGAUGUAAGGUAUUAACUUACACCCUUUCCUCCUCGCUGAAAGUGCUUUACAACCCGAAGGCCUUCUUCACACACGCGGCAUGGCUGCAUCAGGGUUUUCCCCCAUUGUGCAAUAUUCCCCACUGCUGCCUCCCGUAGGAGUCUGGGCCGUGUCUCAGUCCCAGUGUGGCUGAUCAUCCUCUCAGACCAGCUAGGGAUCGUCGCCUAGGUGAGCCUUUACCUCACCUACUAGCUAAUCCCACCUGGGCUUAUCCAUCAGCGCAAGGCCCGAAGGUCCCCGUGCUUUCCCCCGUAGGGCGUAUGCGGUAUUAGCAGUCGUUUCCAACUG